UCAGGCCUAACACAUGCAAGUCGAACGGCAGCACGGACUUCGGUCUGGUGGCGAGUGGCGAACGGGUGAGUAAUACAUCGGAACGUGCCCAGUCGUGGGGGAUAACGUAGCGAAAGCUACGCUAAUACCGCAUACGAUCUAAGGAUGAAAGCGGGGGAUCGCAAGACCUCGCGCGAUUGGAGCGGCCGAUGGCAGAUUAGGUAGUUGGUAGGGUAAAGGCCUACCAAGCCGACGAUCUGUAGCUGGUCUGAGAGGAUGAUCAGCCACACUGGGACUGAGACACGGCCCAGACUCCUACGGGAGGCAGCAGUGGGGAAUUUUGGACAAUGGGCGCAAGCCUGAUCCAGCCAGUCCGCGUGCAGGAUGAAGGCCUUCGGGUUGUAAACUGAUGUUGUACAGAACGAAAAGGCUCUGGUUAAUACCCGGGGCUC
rnacentral:rRNA from 1 species